ACGGUGAUCGAUAGCCGCGGGCGAAAGAAAUAUCGUCUGGAAUGAGCACCUAAGGCGAGGUUGGCAGUCCCAAGAGGAGAAGGGGAAAGUGGGAUGUAUGUAGAGCGCCCCCUACCGUCCACACCCAAGAAAGGGGAAGUGUGGAUGGUAUGUGGAGAGAGGAGAACACCGACGAAGUGCAUCCACCCACACUAAGACGGGAAAUGAGCACUGGCAUUGGCCUUGAAGUCGGUUCUCGACCUAUGUGAAGGGAAAGGAGGAAGCAAAAGAAUAGGAAAGGGAACCGGCAGAGCCGAGCCCAUAAAUAGGGCGAGGUGACCGCCAUGUGGGCCAUAGAAAAUUUGGGAAUCGGACGACCCGCUGCCGCGAACGAAAUCUAACGGCCGUAUUUUAAAAUCGGUGGCACACAUAAACGUGGAAAUCCAGAAAAUUUUACCCGAUCCGGAGAUCGACGGGAGCAGGACGGGAGCAGAACUGGAGGACCCGGCAGCCGGAAGUGGAAAAUAAACAGGGUAUAUAGGCAUUUUCUUGACCCCGGGAUAUCCACAGUUUGGACCCGGGGAGACCUUUUCUGGAACCCGUGGUGGAUUCCAACCUAAAAUCCCGCCGAGGACCAAGCCAGACCGCCCGGGAGAAGCUCGCCCAAAAAAAAAAAAAAUUAGAAUAAUU